GACAGAGGGUGCAAACGUUGUUCGGAAUUACUGGGCGUAAAGCGAGUGUAGGCGGUCUGAAAAGUCAGGUGUGAAAGCCCUGGGCUCAACCCAGGAAGUGCACUUGAAACUGCCAGGCUAGAGUAUCGGAGAGGUUGGUGGAAUUCUCGGUGUAGAGGUGAAAUUCGUAGAUAUCGAGAGGAACACCGGUGGCGAAGGCGGGACUCUGGGCCUACCCUGACGCUGAGGCGCGAAAGCGUGGGGAGCAAACAGG
rnacentral:rRNA from 1 species